GGGGCUGUAGCUCAGUGGCAGAGCACUUGCCUAGCAUGUGUGAGGCCCUGGGUUUGAUCCUCAGCACCUCA
rnacentral:tRNA from 1 species